rnacentral:lncRNA from 1 species
ACCACCUGACCCUUACACUUGACUUUAGUUAAGUAUCUUUUCUUGUCGGAGCAAUACUCAUCUCGAACAAGGCGAGUUGCUAUUAUUCAUCAAGAGAACUAUGGAUUCUUUGCUAGGUUCAAUCACUUCAUGAAAUUUUUAUGCCUUUUGUUCGAAAGUUAUUUCAGAUUAUUUCCUUGAUUUAUAUCAUUAUGGUCUCUCUCCUUUGUAUAUAAUCUCAUC